UGGGGAAUUUUGGACAAUGGGCGAAAGCCUGAUCCAGCAAUGCCGCGUGUGUGAAGAAGGCCUUCGGGUUGUAAAGCACUUUUGUCCGGAAAGAAAUCCUUGGCUCUAAUACAGUCGGGGGAUGACGGUACCGGAAGAAUAAGCACCGGCUAACUACGUGCCAGCAGCCGCGGUAAUACGUAGGGUGCAAGCGUUAAUCGGAAUUACUGGGCGUAAAGCGUGCGCAGGCGGUUUGCUAAGACCGAUGUGAAAUCCCCGGGCUCAACCUGGGAACUGCAUUGGUGACUGGCAGGCUAGAGUAUGGCAGAGGGGGGUAGAAUUCCACGUGUAGCAGUGAAAUGCGUAGAGAUGUGGAGGAAUACCGAUGGCGAAGGCAGCCCCCUGGGCCAAGUACUGACGCUCAUGCACGAAAGCGUGGGGAGCAAACNGGAUUAAUACCCUGGUAGUCCACGCCCUAAAANGAUGUCAACUAGUUGUUGGGGAUUCAUUUCCUAGUAACGUAGCUAACGCGUGAAGUUGACCGCCUGGGGA
rnacentral:rRNA from 1 species